rnacentral:rRNA from 1 species
UGGGGAAUAUUGCACAAUGGGCGAAAGCCUGAUGCAGCAACGCCGCGUGAGUGAUGAAGGCCUUCGGGUUGUAAAGCUCUGUCUUCUGGGACGAUAAUGACGGUACCAGAGGAGGAAGCCACGGCUAACUACGUGCCAGCAGCCGCGGUAAUACGUAGGUGGCAAGCGUUGUCCGGAUUUACUGGGCGUAAAGGAUGCGUAGGCGGAUACUUAAGUCAGAUGUGAAAAUCCCGGGCUUAACUUGGGAACUGCAUAUGAAACUGGGUAUCUAGAGUGCGGGAGAGGAAAGUGGAAUUCCUAGUGUAGCGGUAAAAUGCGUAGAGAUUAGGAAGAACACCAGUGGCGAAGGCGACUUUCUGGACCGUAACUGACGCUGAGGCAUGAAAGCGUGGGGAGCAAACA